UGUGGGGCUUACAGUCUAGUCUGGGCUCGGCAGAGGCCCGACUGCUGCAUUCCUUGCCAGAGAACCAAGGGCUGUUAGGAACCUGUGGUCUUCAUAGAAACAGGAGGCAGGAGGCCACGGUCACCCUGACCACUCAGAGCCUGAAGUCACUACGAGGGUCGGAGCAUCUUUCCGCCUCCUCGGCCUGAGGGGAAUCUGAGAAGGGAUGGGUGCUCUGUCGCUGUCCAAACUUGGCCAGCAGAGCUUUGGGCCGAGGGCAGGAACGCCAUCCCUGCUCUCCUGGCUUUCGUCCCUUGCGCACCGCCUCUGGGUGUCUUUUCUGACGAGCUUUGGGGGCCAGGUGACCCUCAUCACGUCCUUUUCUCCCCAACAGCGCGGGAGCUGGGCGGACAGGUACGUUCAUAGCGCUCAGCAACAUCCUGGAACGAGUCAAAGCCGAGGGACUCCUGGACGUCUUUCAGGCUGUGAAGAGCCUGCGACUGCAGCGGCCGCAUAUGGUGCAAACCUUGGAACAGUAUGAAUUCUGCUAUAAAGUGGUACAAGAUUUCAUCGAUAUAUUUUCUGAUUAUGCUAACUUCAAAUGAAGAUUCCUGCCUUAAAAUGUUUUUAUUUUAAUUUAAUGGUCAGUACAAAUGUUUGUAAAUCUUGUUAAUUUAUUUCAUAGUUGACAUUAAUAUUGUUUCUAAUUCCUGUGUAUAUAUUUUGUUACACUUUAAAUAUCACCUGCUCUAAAAGAUAGAAAUUAAACUUAACAGCAUUAUCUUUUUUUUAAUUGGCAUAACAUGUUAAGUAAAAUCAUGUUCUACCACACAUGUAUAUAUUGCUUUGCCAGUGGCAGUCUUAUUUUCCCUUGUUGACAGCUUAAUAAUGCAUUUCAUUUCGAAGGCUGAGCAUCUCAGAAUUUUGUACGGCCACCAUUGGAGCUCGAAAGAUGAAUAAUCCUUCACAUGCUUAGUUCUGAUGCUAAAACAGCCAUCCAUUGUUAGUCAAACAGUUCGGGUUUCUCCCAGAACCACCAAGCAUGCUUGGCUACCUUUGCUUUUGAAAGUCCUGGUCAUCUCUCAUUCUAGGGCACCCCCUCCAACUUUGGUUCAUUCAGAGUCUAAAUAGAGGGUUUUAAAAUCUUCUAUUUUAAUCUACAUAUUUCAUUUUCAUUUUUAAAAAUAUUAUAUAUCAUUUAAAAACCUGGAUACAGGUCUAAGACAUGGGAUGAUAAUUUUAUAUUCAUAUAUACAUGUAUACACACAUACACAUAUAUAUGUGUGUAUGUAUGUUUAUGUGUAUGUGUUUUGGCCAGGGCUGUCUACCAAGGGCCCCUAGCUCCAUGCCUGCUGGGUGGGCCCCAGGAGCACCCCCCUUGCCUCUUAAGGAGCACGUAGAAAACCCUUAUAGUCAGACCACCUGGAUUGUUCAGGCCUGCCUCCAAUUCAGUGACUCCAGAGGUGACGGAAGUUUGACUUGGCUCAGACUCUGCUGAAGACAUGUUUGCUGUCCCUGAAUGAUGCCAAGAGCAGCUUCUC
rnacentral:lncRNA from 1 species